UAAAGCGGGUGAAAAGCCCGCUCGCCGGAAGACCAAGGGUUCCUGUCCAACGUUAAUCGGGGCAGGGUGAGUCGACCCCUAAGGCGAGGCCGAAAGGCGUAGUCGAUGGGAAACAGGUUAAUAUUCCUGUACUUGGUGUUACUGCGAAGGGGGGACGGAGAAGGCUAUGUUGGCCGGGCGACGGUUGUCCCGGUUUAAGCGUGUAGGUGUGUGUUCCAGGUAAAUCCGGUUCACUUUAACACUGAGGCGUGAUGA
rnacentral:rRNA from 3 species